GAAAGAACCUUAACUGGGCUUGACAUUUCCUGACCGCCGUGGAAACACGGCUUUCCCUUCGGGGCAGGAUCACAGGUGGUGCAUGGCUGUCGUCAGCUCGUGUCGUGAGAUGUUGGGUUAAGUCCCGCAACGAGCGCAACCCCCGUCGCAUGUUGCCAGCAUUUAGUUGGGGACUCAUGCGAGACUGCCGGUGACAAACCGGAGGAAGGUGGGGAUGACGUCAAGUCAUCAUGCCCCUUAUGUCCAGGGCUACACACGUGCUACAUUGGCGCGUACAGAGGGCUGCAAGACCGCGAGGUGGAGCGAAUCCCUUAAAGCGCGUCUCGGUUCGGAUUGCAGGCUGAAACUCGCCUGCAUGAAGGCGGAGUUGCUAGUAAUCGCGGAUCAGCAUUGCCGCGGUGAAUACGUUCCCGGGCCUUGUACACACCGCCCGUCACACCAUGGGAGUGAGUAACACCCGAAGCCGGUCGCCUAACCCUUUUGGGAGGGAGCCGUCGAAGGUGGGACUCGUGACUGGGGUGAAGUCGUAACAAGGUAGCCGUAAUCG
rnacentral:rRNA from 1 species